UCAUCAUGCCCCUUAUGUCUGGGCUACACACGUGCUACAAUGGCCGGUACAGACGGACGCAAAGCCGCGAGGUGGAGCAAAUCCUAAAAAGCCGGUCUCAGUUCGGAUUGCAGGCUGCAAUUCGCCUGCAUGAAGUCGGAAUCGCUAGUAAUCGCAGGUCAGCAUACUCGCGGUCGAAUACGUUCCCGGGCCUU
rnacentral:rRNA from 1 species